rnacentral:rRNA from 1 species
AGAGACAGCAGUAGCCGCGGUAAAACGUAGGGUGCAAGCGUUAAUCGGAAUUACUGGGCGUAAAGCGUGCGCAGGCGGUUAUAUAAGACAGAUGUGAAAUCCCCGGGCUCAACCUGGGAACUGCAUUUGUGACUGUAUAGCUAGAGUACGGCAGAGGGGGAUGGAAUUCCGCGUGUAGCAGUGAAAUGCGUAGAUAUGCGGAGGAACACCGAUGGCGAAGGCAAUCCCCUGGGCCUGUACUGACGCUCAUGCACGAAAGCGUGGGGAGCAAACAGGAUUAGAUACCCCCGUAGUCCCUGUCUCUUAUAC